rnacentral:lncRNA from 1 species
AUUAGUUGAGUAGGAGUAGGAUAGGAGUAUUAUAAAUACCCUAUCAUGUUAGAGAUUUUAAAAAGGGGGGGGAGACAUUCUGACAAUUCAUUCAUCUCCUUACAAUUAAGACAUCUUCCUACAGCCCAUUCUCAAUUCUUCAUUCUUCUACUCUUAAAUUCCACAACAAGAGAAUCGUUACUUGCUACGGAAUCACUAAAACCACACGCCAAACACCUACUAUUCACGCCAUCCACCAUGCAAAACGUGAUAUCCUUCGCAUUCAUGGGUAACUAAAUCUCUUAGUUGGGGUUAUGGAAGCCGAAUGAGUUACUAUCUAUAGCUAUGAGUUUGUGAGUUCAAGACAAGUAUAUUGCUUAUAUCAUUAUUCUCUUCAUCUUAAAUCUACAUUCUUUGCGGUUCAAACACAAGAACACGCCAU